GGAAUAUUGGACAAUGGGCGCAAGCCUGAUCCAGCCAUGCCGCGUGUGUGAAGAAGGCCUUCGGGUUGUAAAGCACUUUCAGCGAGGAGGAAGGGUGUUGUUUUAAUAGAAAAGAAUUUUGACGUUACUCGCAGAAGCAGCACCGGCUAACUCCGUGCCAGCAGCCGCGGUAAUACGGAGGGGGCAAGCGUUCAUCGGAAUGACUGGGCGUAAAGCGCACGUAGGCGGUAUGUUAAGUUGGAUUUGAAAGCCCCGGGCUCAACCUGGGAAUUGCAUUCAAAACUGGCAUGCUAGAGUAUGUGAGAGGGGGGUAGAAUUCCAAGUGUAGCGGUGAAAUGCGUAGAGAUUUGGAGGAAUACCAGUGGCGAAGGCGGCCCCCUGGCACAAUACUGACGCUCAGGUGCGAAAGCGUGGGGAGCAAAC
rnacentral:rRNA from 1 species